GCCUACGGCCAUACCACGUUGAACACACCGGUUCUCGUCCGAUCACCAAAGUUAAGCAACGUCGGGCCCGGUUAGUACUUUGAUGGGUGACCGCCUGGGAACACCGGGUGCUGUAGGCA
rnacentral:rRNA from 1 species